AAAGAUCUUUAGAAGCUUCCAUGGAAGAACAUCACGUCUUUUACAUUGAGACAUCACAAGCAUACACAUCAAUUGUACAGCAACCGCCCUUCUAAACUACAAACAAGCCGCAUACUAAAUUUGUUACCAAGUGUACUUUCUUGCUGAUUACAUGGUUCCAGAAAAAUCGGAGUCUGAGACAACCAGACAUGAUCUGUACUAGUAUGGGAGGUGACAUUAUCAGUUUCAUGAGCUGCCAACUAGGAGACAUAUGAAGAUGACUCCUACUCUGAAGAUUAUCCGGUCAUGCCUUCAACUAAUCGAUUUGAAGAUCAAAGGAAAACUAUUGUUGGAGCAUGAAAGAUGGUCCUGAAUCUGAAUAAUCACCGAAUAGUCAGUUCUGGAGCAACCAUAAAAAACAUGAUAUAGAAAUAUUUACCUACCAAUGAGUGGUCGCGGAAGAGGCUUAUGUGGCCUGACAAUAUGUAUGUAAGUAAUCUUGAUAUGUCAUUCUUCACUGCAGCUAUAUAGUAUAAACAGUCAUUAUUGGGAAGCAAAGGAUAGCGAGAUGGAGGAAGGGACAAUAACUCAAAACGAAAAACAGAAGAAAAAGAGGUACAACAAGUUUGCAUUCAGAUUUCUGAAAAAAUAUGAUAAUCUCAUAUCUUUUUGUCAAAAAUAGCCCCAACAUAUUAGAUGAAAACAAUAAAGUGAAAGUGUACCUAAAUAUUAUAUGAAAUAAGUUGCUGUGAUAUUACCUCAAAUUAAAAUCAGUACCAAUAUCUAGUCAUAUAGUUUCUAAAACAAAUCCUCCAGUACAGUGGCAUGCAAAUAAAGUGAGCAUGAAAUUCUAUCCACUGAAGGAAUCAAUUUCGCAACCUAAAUAAGAUGAUAAUAAGGUACAAGGGUGUGCUUCCAAACCAGGGACAUGCCACAUAUGCAACCAAGAGCAGGAAAUGGCGAUGCAUUGUUUUAUGCAUAAUUCUUGGAUGCAACAACUUUGGCUACCUGCCUUGUCAAUGUCAAAAGCAGCUUCUGAUUUGCAUAAGAACAUGAAGAAUUGCAGCCCUGUUCGCGGUCCACAUCUUCAACAGAUUUACCAGCUCCAGGCAAUAAGACUCCAUAAUGACCUUCCAACAUAGUAAUGAGCCAAGCCAAACUUUGGAGUGACACCCCAUCUUGCAAAUCCAUUGAAACUAACAUAGGUUAUGAAUCUCAUAGCAAUCACAUAAGCAAUCAUAGGCAGCUCUAUCCUCUAUGCGAAACUAACAUUGGAUUGUCUUUUACUAAAAAUUUGCUACCAGAUAAAACAGGGAUCCCAAAGUAUCGCAUUUAUAGAAUAAAAAGGUCAGUUCACUACUAUAUCAUGUUUUUUCAAACAAAUUAUAGGGAACAAUAUAUGAGGUUUUGCAAUGGAUUGUAAGGAACACCGACAUUCUGCAAGUCAUGGUUUAGUAUACAUUGUAUAUAGGAGACUGAAAAAAACCAGUUUUGUCCAAAAGAUGAACUACUGUAGAUAAUAAAAUCAGGAAGAUGAACUUGUUAAUGCUUUCACGAAGUUCAGUUGAACAUUGUAAAGUACAAGUUCUGUUUCAUAUUGUUUACGAAUAAAGGAUCCAAACAGGGAGUGCAUCCCUUGUAAUUUGCAUGAAGAUCGUAGAAAUAUACUCGUAGCUCAUACCUAAAUAUUGUGCUGACAGCGCACUAUUCCAAAUCUUAAUCAAUAAAAAGAUGCCUUUUGAGAAGAAGCAUACAGACCUAGAUCUAGAUCCUUGAGCUGCUGUAGUUGGAUAGUGCCACCGGCGGCGUUAGUGGUAGAUUGAGUAUGCCCUCACAACGAGGCACUGCUGCGAAAGACGAAAUCAAGGCACUGCUUUCAACAAAUCAGAUCACCCAUCUGGAUUUCAGUGAGACGACGCUCCAUUGGUACAUGAUUGAGAGAGAUCAAGCGAAAUUUACUAACCUAUUUUGCCUGUUGGAGUGGUACAGAAGAGGGAGAGAGAGAGAGAAUACUGAUUUUGGUGAAGAUCUGAGAUCAGUUCUUGAGCUCGCUGGACCUUAACAAUAGCACCAGGCGGCUGCACUGGUACAGAAUCUGGCAAGGGGAAGAACACGAUCUGGAUAUGAUGAGAUCAAAUCGCUGCAUUUAACUGCACUGCAAGGACUGUUCUGCAAAUGUGCCAGCAGUCCCAUCAUCUCACUGAAUCCUGUCCCUCUAUUUUGAAUCCAAC
rnacentral:lncRNA from 1 species